UUGGCUAUUUUCAAUUUAUUUUAGUUUUUAAUCUCUCUGAUAGAUAGUAUUCUACUAUAUAUGUGAAUACUCAUAUACAAAUAAAUUGGUCAUUACUAGGGUUUUUCAUAACGAACUCAUCUUGCUGCGGAGUUGGGUCACAUAAUGCUUAUGGUUGCGGUUUACCUAACGUGCACUCGAAGCUAUGCGAGUACCAACGAUCAUACCUAUUCUUCGACGGACGUCACAACACCGAGAAGGCGCAAGAAAUGUUUGGUCAUCUUCUUUUUGGAGCCGAUCCUAAUGUGAUCCAACCAAUGAACGUCCGUGAGCUCGUGGUUUACCCAGUCGAUGAACCUAUGCGUGAAGUUUGGGUGCCUACAACGUCAGCCACCGUCCAAGCCAGUGACUCUAGCUCGUCAUCAAGCCGCGGUUACGAGUUCUACUGAGUCCUAAAAAUCAAUCUUAAAUUUCGGGAUCAAUCUGGUUAUAACAAAAUCCGGAAUCUUAAUGUUUUUUGUUUGCAAUUAUUUUCUCUUCGUCUCUCUAGUGAGUUUCUCUCUAUAAUAAAAGAUUGAUCUUUGCAACCGUAUUGGGCUGAUUCGGGAUUCAUUAAUCUAUCCAUCAUGUACUCAAACAGUAAACGAAGACACAUGGAAGCCAGUUAUGUACGUAUUAAAAUAACGAAUUAACACUUAUAGUAAGAGAGAGAGAGAAUCAAUGAAAUUUUUUAUUAACACUCUUCCAUUUUAUUAUUUUAUUCAAUACGAUUAAUCGGCCUAAAAUUAUUGAUAAAAAUACAUAACGAUGCUUUUGUGACUUGAGUUAUAGUAUCAAGCUGAUUUUUAAGUAGAAAACGAAUACUUGACCAAAAAAAAAAAAAACGAAUACAAUAUUAUCUUUUGUCAGUAGGAAGAAUAAUAAAAUAUAGAAUUUAAUUAAUCAGACAAUAAAUAGAGUGUGCAAUACAAUAUUAUCUUUUGUCAGUAGGAAGGAUAAUAAAAUAGACUAGUAUUUUAGUCAGUAAAUAAAUAAAUAUUAAUAGAGUAUGAUGCAAUAUGAUCUGGUUUGGCGGAUCAUGACCGACAGAGACGAGAUUUAAAAACCAAGACAAAACUGGGAGUCAUUAUUUAAAUAUUAAGAUGUGAUCCACAGUGGCUUAACUUUGACUACUAGUAUACUUUAAACAACUCCCGCGUCCCGAGGUGGGAAGAUGGAGACAUAGGUGUUGAUUGGUUUAUCUGUUAUCAUCCGCAAACGCAGCGUUUGUGAUUACUAGUGAUUAGUGAUGUUUUAUCACAAUCAUAUGAAUCGCUGCAAACUGUUCCGUAUCGUUUUAUAGCGCUGAAAUCUAAAAGCUGCUUCCCGCCAGCGUUUGCGGUUGCGGACGGUAACAGUUAGAUAAAAAAAAUAAAAAAUAAACAAAUAUCAGUUGAAAAAAAUUACGAUACAAGCAUAAGUGUCAUAAUACUUUAGUUUAAUUUAUUUAUAUUAAUUGUUCUUCCACUUUUAAAUUUAAAGUAAAAAAUUAUAAAUAUGUAUCUUAUUAAUUACAAAAUUAGUUUGUUAUAAUUCUUUUUUUUUGUUCUUCAGAAAGUUACAUAAUCAAACGAGAUGACAUGUGCGUUACUCAACCGAUCAUUGUGGAAAAUUAAAGUCAAGAUAAAUAUCCUAGAUUUUUUAGUGCACUCCAGAAAGAACGUAUUUUGAAGAAUACUAAUGAGCAAUUUGGAGUUGAUUUGAGCUGGGAUUGUGUAAAAAAUUGAUUAGAUCAAUUGAAAAAAUUUUACAUCAAUCAUAAGACAAAUCCAGAAGAUCCACGUAUUAGAGCAAAUUUUUUCCAGUCUAUUACAUUACUAGACACAACUUUGGAUGAUGUUCCCAAUAAUUAAAAUAAAACAUAUUAUUAUAAAUUUUCUUAAUUUUUAAAAUAAUUAUUUAGUAUUUAUUUAUAAUUUAUUAAUUAUUUUAAACUAUUGAUUUUGAUAUUAAUCAUAAUAAUAUAGUUUUCUGUUUUUUUUAUAAUCAUAUAUGAUAUUUGUUUUGCUAAUUUUAUGUUUAACCGCUAAAACAAUCACUGGUUUGACAGUCAAAAUUGUUCCGCAAACGGAUCCGCCUUAAAAAAUUUAACCAGUCGUGCAAACCGCUGAAUAACGCUCAAAACCGCAAUCCUCCGCUUCCGCAAACUCCCGCACUUACAACCACAACCACAACCGCUGCGUUUAAACUAGUCAAGCCCAUACAAGUAUACUUUAAAAUCUCAUUAAUUGAAGCAACAACCGAUCUUGACUCUAUCCUCUACGUUCAAGUUGAUAAUAUAGUUACCAAUUGGAUAAUAUUCUAGUAGUAUAAAAAAAGAUUUGGAUUGUAUCACGUAUAUAGAUCCGCCCGCAUAUAAUGAUCCAUGCAUGCAUGGAAUCAUUUUUCUUUUCGUCGGACUUGCAUAAUUUGACAUAACAGCUUAUACAACAUUUGACAAUGAUAUCGUUGUCGUGAGCAAGCUCCGUUCCGUUGCUUACCUGUGACUAACCUGCCGGUGCAAAGAAGGUGAACGCAGAGAAACCCAAAUAUAUAUGUUCCUUGUGGGCAAGUAAUUUAAUUGUAACUCAAAUUUUAUCUAAAACAUUUAUUUUUACCAUAUGUUUUUUUUUUCUUUGAACAUUUUCAUAGUUUUACCAUAUGUUUUUUGCUAACUGCAUUCAUUAAUCAAUAUACUUGCACUUGUGUCUAACCAUAAGAGACAAUCAAUAUUUCCUUUGUACAUUUUGACAUUCAUGUUAAUGAGCUCAAAUUCAUCGUUUGCUCCCUAUGUUGAUCUAUGCCACAGUUCUUGCUCUUUCAGUCUUCAUGUGAACGGUGUCUUCUAAUACAACUAUACUAGGUCAAUAAUCUGUUUAAUUGCGUGCAAACCUUACUUUUAAUUCAUUUAAAAUUUUGCAGUUAAAAUUGUACGUAAGGGGAGUUAUCAAAUCUCCUAGGUUAAUACAAUAUAAACAUGAAAACAUUAGAAGAGCAGGCUGAAAAUCAGCAAAAUUAAGUGGAAGCGAAUCUCAGAAGCUACCCGAAUUAAUACGUCAUCAUAACGACAUAACGUUCACGGCAAAGCCGGAAGAAAGUAACUUGGUCAAUAAUCUGUUUACUCUUCACUUUUUAGUUGUAUUAGUAGUAGUUAUUUUAAAUUAUCAAAAUAUAAAUAAUCGGUUAAUUUACUCUUCACUACUAGUUGUGCAUACGUAGUUGUAUUAGUAGUACUUGUAUUAGAAAACUAAACUCGCGCGACACGUUGUUGUUUAAUAGUAAUUAUUAUUGUAAAUUACCAAAAGCUAUAUUUGCAAUAUAUAUAAAAUAAUCGGUGUAUGAAGUUUAGUCACAAAAACCAUCUUCAUCUCUCUCUUUUAGUCUCUCUUCCCGAUGGCGAGCAACUGUAAUUUAGCGAGUGUCCUAGGGGUAUUUUUGAUAGUUACACUGUUCCACAAUCCGAUCACUGUCGCCGGACAAAAAAAGUCCGGUGCAGCCUUGUUCACGUUCGGUGACUCCAACUUUGACGCCGGAAACAAACAGACUCUCACGCAAGCUAACGUUCCACAAGGUUUCUGGCCGUACGGAAAAUCCAGAGAUGAUCCCAACGGCAAAUUCUCCGACGGUCUCAUCGCUCCAGACUUUCUCGGUACGAUUUUCUUUUUAUUAUUAAUCGGAGGAUCUUAAACCAUAAUUUAUGCUAGUCUUCGAAACCUGUAAAAACGAAUAGGUGUACCAGUUAAAACGUUUAUAAUUAUUAAUCACAAGUGUAGCCACUAGUUAAUUUUUUUUUGGGGCAACGUCAUUAGUUGAUUAUCUUAUCAAAUUUUGUUAAUUUUUACAUUUGUACAACUCAAAACCGACAUGUUAUUUUAUUAUACUUCCUCUGUUUCAUAAUAAUUGUACAUCUAUUAUUUUUUUAUUUAUGUUACUUUUUACACACAAAUUAAUAAAACAUAUUAAAAAUUUAAUAAUAUCCUUAAAAUAUAUGAGACUUUUGAAAUUCUUUAUUAGAUCUAAGGUUAAAUUAAGUAUUUUGUAUUAAAAUUUGUUUUGAAAAUAUAAAACGAUCGACACUCAUAAUGAAAAAAAUUUUCUUAACGAUAUUUAUUAUAAAACGAAAGGAAAAUAUAUUAAUUUAUUUUCUAAUUCAAGAUUAAUGAAACUCUAAACGUAAAAAAAAAGCAGAAUUUUUAUACUGUACAUGAUAUUUGAUAUAUACAUUUUGUAAAUAAAUGUAUAUGCUCUUUUUUUUUUAAUCAUACAAAUACAAUAUAUAACAUAAAACAGUAAUAUAUACCGUAUAUCUGAAAUGUGAAAAUUUUUCUUCCUUGAAAUGUGAAUUUUUUUAAAUAAUAUUAUAAUGCAGCAAGAUUCAUGGGAAUCCCGAACGAGAUCCCGCCGGCACUUAAACCAAACGUCAAUAUCUCACAUGGAGCUAGUUUCGCCGUCGCCGAUGCUACCCUUCUCGGGGCUCCGGUGGAAUCUGUAAGUCCACUUUAUUUCUUUUAUAUAUGAUAUAUCUAUAUAUUUUUCAACAUUCAAUUGAAAUCAUAAUAUUUCUUUUAUAUAUUACAUAAAGACAUCUAACUUCAAAUCAAUAAGCCUUACUUUUAUAGUCUUAUUGCAAGCAUAAUACUCGAUUUUUUCCUCCCUUUAGUUGACUCUGAAUCAACAAGUGAGGAAAUUCAGUCAAAUAAAGCAGCAAACUGGAACGACGACUUCAUCAAGAAAUCAGUGUUUAUGAUAUACGUUGGUGCGAACGAUUACUUGAAUUUCACCAAGAACAACCCUAACGCCGAUGCAUCUGCCCAACAAGCUUUCGUCACUUCCGUGACCAACAAGUUAAAGAACGAUAUCAGUUUGUUGUAUUCAUCAGGAGCGAGUAAGUUCGUGAUCCAAACCCUAGCACCAUUAGGUUGCUUACCCAUAGUAAGACAAGAUUAUAGCACCGGGAUGGAUCAAUGCUACGAACCUCUCAACAAUUUGGCUAAACAACACAACGAAAAAAUCGGACCAAUGUUGAACGAAAUGGCUAGAACCGCUAGUGGUUUCCAAUUCACCGUCUUUGAUUUCUACAAUGUCAUUCUUCGUAGGACGCAAAGAAACCUCAACUACCGUGAGUUGGUUGAUUACAACAACUUCAAUUUAUUUUAAUUUCAAGCGCCGAUACCAUGUGAAUAAGCAUAUACAAAAGCGUUAAAACUUGUUCUUGCUAGGGUUCUUUGUGACGAACUCAUCCUGCUGCGGAGUUGGGACACACGAUGCUUAUGGUUGCGGUUUGCCUAACGUGCACUCGAAGCUAUGCGAGUACCAACGAUCAUACCUGUUCUUCGACGGACGUCACAAUACCGAGAAGGCA
rnacentral:lncRNA from 1 species